rnacentral:rRNA from 1 species
UACGUAGGGUGCGAGCGUUAAUCGGAAUUACUGGGCGUAAAGCGUACGCAGGCGGCUUUGUAAGACAGGUGUGAAAUCCCCGGGCCUAACCUGGGAACUGCAUUUGUGACUGCAUGGCUAGAGUUUGUCAGAGGGGGGUGGAAUUCCACGUGUAGCAGUGAAAUGCGUAGAUAUGUGGAGGAACACCGAUGGCGAAGGCAGCCCCCUGGGAUGUGACUGACGCUCAUGUACGAAAGCGUGGGGAGCAAACAGG